GCUCAACCGAAGAAGUGCAUUGGAAACUGGGAGACUUGAGUGCAGAAGAGGACAGUGGAACUCCAUGUGUAGCGGUGAAAUGCGUAGAUAUAUGGAAGAACACCAGUGGCGAAGGCGGCUGUCUGGUCUGCAACUGACGCUGAGGCUCGAAAGCAUGGGUAGCGAACAGGAUUAGAUACCCUGGUAGUCCAUGCCGUAAACGAUGAUUACUAAGUGUUGGAGGGUUUCCGCCCUUCAGUGCUGCAGCUAACGCAUUAAGUAAUCCGCCUGGGGAGUACGACCGCAAGGUUGAAACUCAAAAGAAUUGACGGGGGCCCGCACAAGCGGUGGAGCAUGUGGUUUAAUUCGAAGCUACGCGAAGAACCUUACCAGGUCUUGACAUCUUCUGACAGUCUAAGAGAUUAGAGGUUCCCUUCGGGGACAGAAUGACAGGUGGUGCAUGGUUGUCGUCAGCUCGUGUCGUGAGAUGUUGGGUUAAGUCCCGCAACGAGCGCAACCCUUAUUACUAGUUGCCAGCAUUAAGUUGGGCACUCUAGUGAGACUGCCGGUGACAAACCGGAGGAAGGUGGGGACGACGUCAAAUCAUCAUGACCCUUAUGACCUGGGCUACACACGUGCUACAAUGGAUGGUACAACG
rnacentral:rRNA from 1 species